UACGUAGGGUGCGAGCGUUGUCCGGAAUUAUUGGGCGUAAAGGGCUCGUAGGCGGUUUGUCACGUCGGGAGUGAAAACUCAGGGCUUAACCCUGAGCCUGCUUCCGAUACGGGCAGACUAGAGGUAUGCAGGGGAGAACGGAAUUCCUGGUGUAGCGGUGAAAUGCGCAGAUAUCAGGAGGAACACCGGUGGCGAAGGCGGUUCUCUGGGCAUUACCUGACGCUGAGAAGCGAAAGCAUGGGGAGCGAACAGG
rnacentral:rRNA from 1 species